GCAGUCAAGGUUUGGUGAUGUAAGUAACACAGAUUUACAUUAAUCCUAUCACAAUCAUGUGUUCUUUGAGAUGUUAAUGUAUGAAAAAUGAAACGUCUAUCUCAUAUCAAUUAGUUGUCCAUAAAACUUAACACAAUAGUCAUGUCGUUAUAUAUUGCAAUAUGUUUUGUUGGAGUUUACUUAAGUUCUUGUAUUAUCUUAAAGUACAGCGCAAAUUAUCCGGUGAUACUUAUGUAUUAAUUAGUAGUUUGGUGUGUGUAAAACACAUAUUUAGAUAAACGUAAACACAUAACUUAAAGUACAAAUAAAACAUAACCAAAAGCAAUUUGACAUGCUUAUAGAUUUUUUGUGGUCGUAUCAAACAUUACAGAGAAAAUGAUAUUGUUCGCCAGAUAAUUGAUAUAACAGACUAUAGUGUAUAAAAGUAAUGAGGGAACAUACAGUUAUUCUUAUAUAAAAAAAAAAUGUCAAAGUAAAAAUUUGAUUGUUCCACUUGUAUACAUUUGUUGUUAUUUACAAAGAAAAUGAAACACUGUUUUAUCUGGCGUGCAUGAAUAUGCAGUCAAAUGUUUUGUUAAAUUUUA
rnacentral:lncRNA from 1 species